rnacentral:rRNA from 1 species
UAACACCAGCGCCACAAGUGGGAACCACGAUUAUUGGGCUUAAAGCGUUCGUAGCCGGUUUGAUAAGUUCUUUGUGAAAUCGUUGCCCUUAAUGCAACGGCGUGCAGAGAAUACUGUCGAACUAGGGACCGGGAGGGGUCAGGAGUAUGCCAGGGGGAGCGGUAAAAUGCUAUAAUCCUUGGUGGACUACCUUUGGCGAAGGCGCCUGACUAGAACGGGUCCGACGGUGAGGAACGAAAGCUAGGGGAGCGAUCCGGAUUAGAUACCCGAGUAGUCCUAGCUGUAAACGCUGCGAGCUAGAUAUUGCGUUUUCUUCGUGAAAGCGCAGUGUCGGAGCGAAAGUGUUAAGCUCGCCGCCUGGGAAGUAUAGUCGCAAGACCG